UAUUUUUUUGAGGAAAGACAAACAGAAAAAAAUCAACCAGAACACUACACCACCACCCACAAAUUAGGCAAAGAGGCUUUAAAAAAAAACCUGCCAAGAGUAACCAGCUGACCACCUGAUCCUGCUUUACAGAGGAAAACUUACUCCUCAGAACAAUUCCUUUUCCAGGAAGUCCUUGAGCGGUGAUCGCACAAUGUCCUCUCUGCAAGUACUCUUUCUGAGUGUCUGUGUGGUGAUGCUGGACUCUGCUGGCUCCUUUCACCUUGGGUUGAGAAGACGGGUCACCCAAAGCAGCUGUUCCUGGCAAUCCUUGUUGUCUUCCUGAAAGAGACAGCAAGAAAGGUGUGGCUCUAAGAAUUGCCCAGUGCCACCUGGCUGGAAAAGAGAGGGAAAGAGGAAGCCAGAACAUCAGUAACAUGAUCUUGCUGAAGAACCAGAAGUAAUAAGGAGCCACUGGUUU